GCCGCGUUGUAGGAUGAGGCCUUCGGAUUGUAAACUACUGUUGACAAGGGGGAAUCGCAGUACGUGAAUAGCGUGCUGUUUGACUGCCUUUUUGAGGAAGCUCCGGCUAAACACGUGCCAGCAGCCGCGGUAAUACGUGUGGAGCAAGCGUUGUUCGGAAUUACUGGGCUUAAAGGGUGCGUAGGCGGCCUAUUAAGUCAGCUGUGAAAUCCCACGGCCCAACCGUGGACUGGCAGUUGAUACUGAUGGGCUUGAGUGUGCUAGGGGUAAGCGGAACGAGUGUUGUAGCGGAGAAAUGCGUAGAUUAUCACUCGCAAGGCCGGAGCCGAAGGGGGCUUACUGGGGCACAGACUGACGCGGAGGCAAAAAAGCGUACGGAGCAAACAGGAUCAGAUACCCUGGUAAUCCUCACUUUAUACGAUCAGCACUGCAUGGGAGGCUUUCUGGAUUACUUGACUGACAGAAGGGCUACUUCCUCCGCCGGCUUAGCUCCUUCAGAAUUUCACCUCCUUGGAAUAUACGGAGUGCAGCCAAAAACCGG
rnacentral:rRNA from 1 species